GCCACUAAGGUGGUCAAGGCAGGCCAGGAGACAGGGGACUAUUCUGAGACUCGGGAGGCGUCAUAUACUACCAGCCAAUCUUCUGAACACUCCAAAGUGAAUCAGGAGACCAGUGUUCUUAUGAGACCCAAGAAGAAGAAGAAGCUGCUGUCAACAAGGAAUAUUCAUCCGUGGAAACCAGAGUCUGGCAAGAAGCCUGCACUCACUGUUAUGAGAAAAGGGGGUAUGGUCUUCCACUCUCUGUCUCUCUGCCAGGACGUACAGUGUAUUUAAGAUCUUGGGUGGUUUUUAAUGCUCUUUGUUCUGUCACAGUAAUUCUCCUAUUGCUCUUGAGAAAGAACAUGGUUAUAAUGCCAAGUAGAAUAACUAGCUACAAUGUUGUCCCUGUAAAGUUCUCUCUCUCUCUCUCUCUCUGUUUCUCUCUCUCUGUUUCUCUCUCUCUCUGUUUCUCUCUCUGUUUGUCCCUGUAAAGUUCUCUCUCUCUCUCUCUCUCUCUGUUUGUCCCUGUAAAGUUCUCUCUCUCUCUCUCUCUCUCUCUCUCUGUUUCUCUCUCUCUCUGUUUCUCUCUCUCUCUCUGUC